AAGUCAGAGGUGAAAUCCCACAGCUCAACUGUGGAACUGCCUUUGAUACUGGUUGACUUGAGUAUUGGAGAAGUGGAUAGAAUGUGUAGUGUAGCGGUGAAAUGCAUAGAUAUUACACAGAAUACCGAUUGCGAAGGCAGAUUACUAACAAUGUACUGACGCUGAUGGACGAAAGCGUGGGGAGCGAACAGGAUUAGAUACCCUGGUAGUCCACGCCGUAAACGAUGGAUACUAGCUGUUGGGCUUUCGCUCAGUGGGUAAGCGGAAAAGAGAAAGUGUACCCCCUGGGGAGUAGGGGAGCACGAUUGAAACUCGAAUGAAUUGACGG
rnacentral:rRNA from 1 species